rnacentral:tRNA from 1 species
GCCUGGGUGGCUCAGUCGGUUGAGCGUCCGACUUCGGCUCAGGUCACGAUCUCACGGUCUGUGAGUUCGAGCCCCACGUCGGGCU